CGAGUAAGACAGGUAAUCGCGGCUGCAAAAAGCCGAAAGGCUGCAGGCGAGGAAAGUCCGGGCUUCACAGGGCAGGAUGCCGGAUAACGUCCGGUGGAGGCGACUCCAAGGAUAGUGCAACAGAAAUGAACCGCCUUCUUA
rnacentral:RNase_P_RNA from 1 species